rnacentral:tRNA from 2 species
AGGGAGGUAGUCCAAAACAAGACCUUUGAUUUCGGCUCAAAAAACCGUGGUUUAAUUCCACGCCCCCCUU